UACAGAGGGGGCGAGCGUUGUUCGGAAUUACUGGGCGUAAAGGGCGCGUAGGCGGUUCGAUAAGUCCCGUGUGAAAUCCCUCGGCUCAACUGAGGAAUGGCACGGGAAACUGACGGGCUUGAGUUCGGGAGAGGGAAGCGGAAUUCCGGGUGUAGCGGUGAAAUGCGUAGAUAUCCGGAGGAACACCGGUGGCGAAGGCGGCUUCCUGGACCGACACUGACGCUGAGGCGCGAAAGCUAGGGGAGCAAACGGG
rnacentral:rRNA from 1 species